UUUGAUUUGUGGAUUUGCAGCUGGAUAUUUACUUUGAGGCGUUCCAUUGAUGCGGACCGGAUUGCAGCCGAAAGGGAAAUGUCAAUGGAAAAUGAGAACAAUUCUGGGAGCCUUUCGAUAUUCAAUUGAGCAGCCAGCUGCCAAUGAAGAAGUGACGUUUAUCCAGGAUCCACGUUUAUCCCUGUUGGAUGCACCUUGAAGAUGUUUAAUUCAGUGGCUAAGUCCCCUUUUAUGGUCCUUAUUGCACUCGGAAUCUAAUACAAUGGGAAUAACUCUUUGAAGUAUUGGUUGGGAGUUUGGGGUAACUUUAGUCGUAUUUACUGUAGAACUUUGAGCAUCUGUUCCAAUUAAAUUACGUGAAUACAA
rnacentral:sRNA from 1 species